GAUGAACGCUGACAGAAUGCUUAACACAUGCAAGUCGAUUCGAAGUUCCCUUCGGGGAAUGGAGGAUGGCGGACGGGUGAGUAACGCGUAAGGAACUUGCCUUUUGGCCUGGGACAACUGUUGGAAACGACAGCUAAUACCGGAUAUUAUGAGAUUCUCGCAUGGGGAACUUAUGAAAGCUAUAUGCGCCAAAAGAGAGCCUUGCGUUCCAUUAGCUAGUUGGUGGGGUAACGGCCCACCAAGGCGACGAUGGAUAGCCGGCCUGAGAGGGUGAACGGCCACAAGGGGACUGAGACACGGCCCUUACUCCUACGGGAGGCAGCAGUGGGGAAUAUUGGACAAUGGGCCACAAGCCUGAUCCAGCAAUUCUGUGUGCACGAUGAAGGUUUUCGGAUCGUAAAGUGCUUUCAGUUGGGAAGAAGAAAGUGACGGUACCAACAGAAGAAGCGACGGCUAAAUACGUG
rnacentral:rRNA from 1 species